AACGAACGCUGGCGGCAUGCCUAACACAUGCAAGUCGAACGAGACCUUCGGGUCUAGUGGCGCACGGGUGCGUAACGCGUGGGAACCUGCCCUUAGGUUCGGAAUAACUCCCCGAAAGGGGUGCUAAUACCGGAUAAUGUCUUCGGACCAAAGAUUUAUCGCCUUUGGAUGGGCCCGCGUUGGAUUAGCUAGUUGGUAGGGUAAAAGCAUACCAAGGCGACGAUCCAUAGCUGGUCUGAGAGGAUGAUCAGCCACACUGGGACUGAGACACGGCCCAGACUCCUACGGGAGGCAGCAGUGGGGAAUAUUGGACAAUGGGCGAAAGCCUGAUCCAGCAAUGCCGCGUGAGUGAUGAAGGCCUUAGGGUUGUAAAGCUCUUUUACCCGGGAUGAUAAUGACAGUACCGGGAGAAUAAGCUCCGGCUAACUCCGUG
rnacentral:rRNA from 1 species